GGUGGCUCAGUGGUCAGAGUGCUUGCCUAGCAUGCAUGAAACCCUGGGUUCGAUUCCUCAGUACCA
rnacentral:tRNA from 1 species